rnacentral:lncRNA from 1 species
CUUGCUUUUUGAGCUAUAUUACAAACUUUAUAAUUAUGCUUAUUACUACUAUAAUACUACACGUGGGGUCACUUUUGUCUGAAUUCACUUACCUGUUUUUUAUUUUAUUUUUUAGGAUUAAGUUCGAAACAGUUUGUUUACUUAUUCGUAAUUUGUAUGAUUAUAGAAUAGCCAACUGUUUGACCCAUUUUACCUUAAGAGGUGUAGAAAUAGAUGAAUAAUACAUAUGCAUAAUAUUAAUUGCAAAUAGUAGAGAUAAAUAUUGCAAAACACUAGUGUCUUCUUGAUUCUAAAGUGGGCGAUUCUGGUUAUUGCUUUGUGAAAGAUUCCUUAAAAUUUUUACCAUUUCUAAACAACAUGAAAGUGAGGUUAGAUUGAGGGAGGAACAACAUGAAAGUGAGGUUAGAUUGAGGGAGGACGAGGUUUUAAUUUGGGAUCUAAGAUGAAAGUGAUUUCUUUUUGUUUACAGAUAGGUGAUAUAGGUGAUAUGGUUGUCAACCUACUUAUUUAGGAGUCAUCUUCAUCUCUAGAUAGUGAUAAGUGGUGGCGGUGGAGGUUUUUUAAGGAUGAAUUAUUUUUCAUACUCUAGGCUUAUUGCACCAUCAUGGAGAGGAAUCUCCCCACUAGUCUCUCUUUUCAUAAUGCAAAAAUGAGUUUUCUAUUUGGAAACUUCCGCAAG